UAAAAGUUCUGGAGAUGGAUGGUGGUGAUGGGUGGUGAUGAUGGACAUUGGAGAUGGGCAAUGGACAUGGAUGGUGGUGAUGGAUGGUAUAAAUGGAUAUUGGAUGUGGACAGCGGACGUGGACAGUGGAGAUAGAGGGUGGUGAUGGCUGGUGGACAUGGACAGUGAAGAUAGAGAGUAGUGAUGGAUGGUGGAGAUAGAGGGCGGUGAUGGACAGUGGAGAUAGAGGGUGGUGAUGGACAGUGGAGAUAGAGGGUGGUGAUGGACAGUGGACAUGGACAGUGGAGAUAGAGGGUGGUGAUGGACAGUGGAGAUAGAGGGUGGUGAUGGACAGUGGACAUGGAUAGUGGAGACAGAGGGUAGUGAUGGACAGUGGAGAUAGAGGGUGGUGAUGGACAGUGGACAUGGACAGUGGAGAUAAAGGGUGGUGAUGGACAGUGGAGAUAGAGGGUGGUGAUGGACAGUGGAGAUAGAGGGUGGUGAUGGACAGUGGAGAUAGAGGGUGGUGAUGAACAGUGGAGAUAGAGGGUAGUGAUGGACAGUGGACAUGGACAGUGGAGAUAGAGGGUGGUGAUGGAUGGUGGACAUGGACAGUGGAGAUAGAGGGUGGUGAUAGACGGUGGACAUGGACAGUGGACAUGGACGGUGGGGACAGAGGGUGGUGAUGGACGGUGGACACAGACGGUGGAGAUAGAGGGUGGUGAUGGACGGUGGACACGGACAGUGGAGAUAGAGGGUGGUGAUGGACAGUGGAGAUAGAGGGUGGUGAUGGUCAGUGGAGAUAGAGGGUGGUGAUGGACGGUGGAGAUAGAGGGUGGUGAUGGACAGUGGACAUGGACAGUGGAGACAGAGGGGGUGAUGGACAAUGGACAUGGACAGUGGAGAUACAGGGUGGUGAUGGACGGUGGACAUGGACAGUGGAGAUAGAGGGUGGUGAUGGACAGUGGACAUGGACAGUGGAGAUAGAGGGUAGUGAUAGACGGUGGACAUGGAUAGUGGAGAUAGAGGGUGGUGAUGGACGGUGGACAUGGACAGUGGAGAUAGAGGGUGGUGAUGGACGGUGGACAUGGACAGUGGAGAUAGAGGGUGGUGAUGGAUGGUGGACAUGGACAGUGGAGACAGAGGGUGGUGAUGGACGGUGGAGAUAGAGGGUAGUGAUGGACGGUGGACAUGGACAGUGGAGACGGAGGGUAGUGAUGGAUGGUGGACAUGGACAGUGGAGACAGAGGGUAGUGACGGACGGUGGACAUGGACAGUGGAGACAGAGGGUAGUGAUGGAUGGUGGACAUGGGCAGUGGAGGUGGAGGGUAGUGAUGGACGGUGGACGUGGACAGUGGAGAUGGAGGGUAGUGAUGUACAGUGGACAUGGACAGUGGAGAUAGAGAGUGGUGAUGGACAGUGGAGAUAGAAGGUGGUGAUGGACAGUGGAGAUAGAAGGUGGUGAUGGACAGUGGACAUGGACGCUGGAGAUAGAGGGUGGUGAUGGACAGUGGAGAUAGAGGGUGGUGAUGGAUGGUGGACAUGGACAGUGGAGAUAGAGGGUGGUGAUGGAUGGUGGACAUGGAUAGUGGAGUUGAAGGGUGGAGAUGGAGGGUGGUGAUGGAU
rnacentral:lncRNA from 1 species